rnacentral:rRNA from 1 species
UAGGGAAUAUUGGGCAAUGGAGGGAACUCUGACCCAGCCAUGCCGCGUGCAGGAUGAAGGCGUUAUGCGUUGUAAACUGCUUUUUAUAUAGGAAGAAAUAGUCCUUGCGAGGAAAGUUGACGGUACUAUAUGAAUAAGCACCGGCUAACUCCGUGCCAGCAGCCGCGGUAAUACGGAGGGUGCAAGCGUUGUCCGGAUUUAUUGGGUUUAAAGGGUGCGUAGGCGGUUUAUUAAGUCAGUGGUGAAAGACGGUCGCUCAACGAUUGCAGUGCCAUUGAUACUGGUAGACUUGAGUAUGAUUGAGGUAGCUGGAAUGGAUAGUGUAGCGGUGAAAUGCAUAGAUAUUAUCCAGAACACCAAUUGCGUAGGCAAGUUACUAAGUCAUAACUGACGCUGAGGCACGAAAGUGUGGGUAUCAAACAGGAUUAGAUACCCACGUAGUCCCUGAGCGGGCUGGCAAGGCGCAU